rnacentral:rRNA from 1 species
GUGGGGAAUAUUCCGCAAUGGACGAAAGUCUGACGGAGCAACGACGCGUGGGGGAUGAAGGGCUUCGGCUCGUAAACCCCUGUCAUUUGUGAGCAAGUGUUCUUGUUUAAGAGAAGAUGACAUUGAUAGUAGCAAAAGAGGAAGGGACGGCUAACUCUGUGCCAGCAGCCGCGGUAAUACAGAGGUCCCAAGCGAUGUUCGGAAUCACUGGGCGUAAAGGGUGCGUAGGCUGUUUAGUAAGACUUGGGUGAAAUAUCCAUGCUUAACGUGGAGGGAGCAUGGGAUACUGCUGUGCUAGAGGAUUGGAAGGGAGACUGGAAUUCUUGGAGUAGCAGUGAAAUGCGUAGAUAGCAAGAGGAACACCAGUGGCGAAGGCGAGUCUCUGGACAACACCUGACGCUGAGGCACGAAGGCCAGGGGAUCAAACGGGAUUAGAAACCCGAGUAGUCC